AUGGAAUGUAAACUUCAGAACAUGAAGAAACAAAAUAAAGUCUUGCAAGUAAAGCUUAACGAAGCACUGCACAGAAAUGCAGAAAUGGUUCACGAUGAAAGUCUCAUGAACCAACAAGACGAAGAAAAUAAAAAGACACAAAACCAGCCCAACGUAGCUAUUGAAAAUAAGGGCUGGGAAAUAAUCUUUAUUGAAGAUCCGCAGCAUACUGUAAGCCUGAUGACAACAAACAAGCAGAACUGCGACCAGUUAAGAAAAAUGUCCCACCAGCUUCAACAAACAGAAGCUAUUAAUCAGGAGCUCUAUGGGAAUCUCCAAGACACUGAGUACAAGAAUCUGCAGCUUCAAGUAAAACUUGAUGAAGCCCUGGAGAAAAACAAAGAGUUUCUUCAGGAGAAACAGCAACAGGAAAAAAUGCACAAAAAGACACAACUUAUUCUCCAAGACUUAGAAAGGAAAAAUCUACAACUACACGGAUGUUCUAAUGAAAUGAAGGAGAAAAUCAUGGAACUAGAAGGAGAAAGGGAAAAACUGAAAAAACAAUGCUCAGGCAUGCAGUCUACUUUGAUUGAAAUGCUAAGAAAGAACUCAGAGCUUGAGGAACAUAAUAACAACUUAAAAUGCAAAGGCAGUGAAAUGCUAAAAAAGAACUCAGAGCUUGAGGAACUUAAUAACAGAUUAAAAUACAAAAACGAUGAAAUCCUGAGAAAGAACACAGUGCUCAAGGAACAUAAUAACAACUUAAAAUACAAAUACAGUGAAAUCCUAAAAAAGAACACAGAACUCGAGGAACUUAAUAACAACUUAAAAUACAAAAACAAGAAAAUGCCCAGGGAAAACACAGAACUCGAGGAACUUAAUAAGAACUUAAAGUACAAAAACAAGAAAAUGCUCAGGGAAAACACAGAACUCGAGGAACUUAAUAAGAACUUAAAGUACAAAAACAAGAAAAUGCUCAGGGAAAACACAGAGCUUGAGGAAAUUAAUAAGAACUUAAAAUACAAAAACAACGAAAUGCUGAGAAAGAACACAGUGCUCGAGGAACUUCAUAACAACUUAAAAUACAAAAACAAGAAAAUGCUCAGGGAAAACAUAGAACUCGAGGAAACGAAUAAGAACCUAAAGUGCAAAAACUAUGAAAUGCUCAGGGAAAACAUAGAACUCGAGGAAACGAAUAAGAACCUAAAGUGCAAAAGGUAUGAUAUGCUCAGGGAAAACAGAGAACUCGAGGAACUUAAUAAGAACUUAAGCUACAAAAACAACAAAAUGCUUAGGGAAAACACUGAGCUCAAGAAACUUAAUCAGAACCUAAAAUACAAAACCAAUGAAACGCCCAGGAAAAACACAGAGCUCGAGAAACUUAAUUACAACUUAAAAUGCAGAAACAAGGAAAUGCUGAGAAAGAACACGGAGCUCGAGAAACUUCUUAAGAACUUAAAAUACCAAAACAAUGAAAUGCUGAGGAAAAACACAGAGCUCGAGAAAGUUAAUAAGAACUUAAAAUGCAGAAACAAGGAAAUGCUCAGGAAAAACGCAGAGCUCGAGAGACUUAAUAACAACUUAAAAUGCAAAAAAAAUGAAAUGCUCAGGAAAAACAGAACUUAA
ensembl:lncRNA